AUUUUUCUGACUUUACGAGUAACAAUUUUCAUUGAGCCAUUAUCAUCAAUAUAUUCUAAAAAGUAUGCUACAAUUUAGUAAUGAUUUGAGAUCAUAUUGUUUACGCAAAAUUAAUUUUAGUUGAGACAAAAAAAUUGUUACUAUUAUUUGAAGUAGGUACAUAAAAUAUUUUUGCUGUAACGGUAAUAAUUUUUCAUUGAAAGAAAGGUGCCUAUGUAGUAGUGAGAGUGGAUUAGACAUUAGAUAUCACAGAUCACUUCAAUUACAAGGAACUUAGUACUUCUGGUACCAUUUUCCCUACGCUGCAACAUUGUUAAUUAAGAAUAUUGGGAGUGUGCUAUUGAACCCAAAAUCAACCAAAAGAAGUAGGAGAUAAAACAACACGCACUAAAAAGAAUUGCCUCCUUAAAAUGACAAUGGACCGAAUAUACUACCAAAGAUUGGAAAAAUGUAUGUACAAAAAAAUCUCAGCAGAGUAUGUUCAACUAAAAAAUUUCAUUGGGUUAAACUAAUAUUCUAUUGACAAAAUUGUCCAUUAUCCUGAGUUAAUUCAAACAAAAAAAAGCAUCGAUGUAUCCACUCCGCCUGCCUUAUGAUUGCCUCUAAUAGUCAACAUAUGUUCCAGUGCAAGUGUUACUAUUGCUCAUUAUACCCAUAAUAUUUCAAUAUAUGUAAUGUGAUGAUUCAAUUUAAAACUUUAUUAUUAAUCAUAAAUUCCAAGAAGGUUAAACAGGAAUCACUGAAGCUAGACCUAAAAAAGUCCGUUUGAUGGUACCAAGAAAUGGGUUUGCAUCAUAUAGCCGAGAAGAAUUAGGUUAAAAAUUACAUUAUAAUUUAAUUAAAAUAUAGAGUUUGAAAUA